UGACAAAGUUCAACGGCCGCGGUACCCUAACCGUGCGAAGGUAGCAUAAUCACUUGUUCUUUAAAUGAGGACUUGUAUCAACGGCACUACGAGGGCUAUACUGUCUCCUUUUUCUAAUCAGUGAAACUGAUCUCCCCGUGAAGAAGCGGGGAUCAAAAUAUAAGACGAGAAGACCCCAUGGAGCUUUAAACUCACUAUACACCUCUGUGCCUCGAUGCCAUAAGACACAAGAGAUCUGUGUACUAGUUUUAGGUUGGGGGGACCACGGAGUACAAUUUAACCUCCAUAACAAAUGGGCUAACACCCUUAUCCACGAGACACAACUCUAAGAAUUACUAAACUAAUGCUUACGACCCGAUAUUCGAUCAAUGAACCAAGUUACCCUGGGGAUAACAGCGCAAUCUACUUCAAGAGUCCCUAUCGACAAGUAGGUUUACGACCUCGAUGUUGGAUCAGGGUAUCCCAGUGGUGCAGCCGCUACUGACGGUUCGUUUGUUCAACGAUUAAAACCCUACGUGAUCUGAG
rnacentral:rRNA from 1 species